GUGCUCACUUCAGCAACACAUAUAAGUGAAAGUGGAAUAAACAGAGAAUAUUAGCAUGGUCCCAGUGCAAGAAUAACAUGCAAAUUUAUGAGGUGUUCCAUAUUUUA